UACGUAGGGGGCAAGCGUUGUCCGGAUUUAUUGGGCGUAAAGAGCGUGUAGGCGGCCAUGCAGGUCAGCUGUGAAAACUCGAGGCUCAACCUCGAGACGUCGGUUGAAACCGCUUGGCUAGAGUCCGGAAGAGGAGAGUGGAAUUCCCGGUGUAGCGGUGAAAUGCGCAGAUAUCGGGAAGAACACCCGUGGCGAAGGCGGCUCUCUGGGACGGUACUGACGCUGAGACGCGAAAGCGUGGGGAGCAAACAGG
rnacentral:rRNA from 1 species